UACGUAGGGAGCGAGCGUUGUCCGGAAUUACUGGGCGUAAAGGGCGCGUAGGCGGGAACUUAAGUUAGAUGUGAAAACUCCGGGCUUAACCUGGAGACUGCAUUUAAAACUGGGUUUCUUGAGGGCAGGAGAGGAAAAUGGAAUUCCUAGUGUAGCGGUGAAAUGCGUAGAUAUUAGGAGGAACACCGGUGGCGAAAGCGGCUCUCUGGCCUGUAACUGACACUGAGGCUCGAAAGCGUGGGGAGCAAACAGG
rnacentral:rRNA from 1 species